AAAUAAUGAGAGAAGAUUCCACAUGGAACGCUCAUCUGGCUGUGGCAGCCUGUGACUGAAUGAGAGAAAAGUGCCCUAGAAGCUAUUCAUUACGAAUUCACUGGAAGCUCUCAAACGAGGCUGGCAGAAGCUGAAAUUGAAGUGGUCUCUGACCUAAUUUUCUUCUGCAUGAAACAUCUGCAUCAAGGCUCUCUUUGAUGUAUUCCACUUGGCUCUGUCUACGGGAUUGUAUCACAUGGACUCGGUGUUGCCUCCUUAUUGAAAGACAUUUCCAGCCUUUGCAAGAUGGCCGGUUUGACACAAAUUAGAACAACCUUGAUAGCUGUCAACUGGAGACUAUCUGAGAACAAAAGGACAUUAUUGCAAACCAGCACUGGAGCAACUCUGAAAGAAGAUAAAAGUACAUGAAGAAAUCAUUUGCAGGCACUGGACAAAAAAGAGUGCAAAACUAUAAUCUUGAGAGCAGGACACACACAGUUUGCAGCAUCACAGAAAAUGAUGCUCUCUCCUGCCAAGUCCCAUUUUUUGGGAGGAGGAAAUGGAUUAGGUCCUGGAGGUUGUCAUAAAUGCAUCAAGUGACUUUCUCAGCAUCAUCUGAAACAUGCAGCCAUCCAGCCCAGAACACAACAAGAAUAGAGUUGAUGAGCCCUCUUCUCCUCAACAAACACCUGUGAUGAGAACAUUGAGGCAAGGGAACAGGUGGCCAAAAAUACCCUCAUAGCCUUGAGAAAGUCCAUCUUGAUGUUAUCCAGUGAAACUUAAUGGCAACGCAGGAGCCAGGGAGCCUGCUUUAUUUUGGAAAUGAAAAAGUCAGUACAGUUGAUGAGAAUUUGAAGAGAAAAGACACAACAAAGUAGAAGGCUAACACCAAUUCCAAACAAUAGUAAAGAAUCAUAAUAAAGUUACUAUGAAUCAAAA
rnacentral:lncRNA from 1 species